CUCCAUGAGAUUUUAACCAAGAAUCUCUCACGCUCUUCCUCAACAUUGAUUCCGCAUAUGUGCAAAGAGAUGACCUUCGAAUUGUCAAGCAGCUACAAUCGCCAUCAAUUCCUACAGAUAGUCUCCAUGCUUUUUCCGAGCAGUUGUCUUUUGUUGAUGUAUGUGAGGUCGACUCAGUGAUGUGGCUUAUAUCUUGACUUUCUGCAGCAACCAGGAAAUCCUGCACUGGAGACAUCUUGUGAAAGAAAUGUUGAAUAUCAGGCACCACUUCAGUUUUAAAACGAUAAGGUUCCAUCAGCUUAUUUCACGGCAACGAUGAAGCAAAGUUAUUUAAUGGUGAAACUGGAUUAACGUUACAUCACGUUAAGGUUUCAUUAUGUCACACGUUAGAAUGUGCCAACUUCGAUUUUAAGAACAGCAAAAAUCAUCUACAAUGUCUCCGUAGAAACUAUAAUUUAUUAUAAC